GGACUUCGGUCUGGCGGCGAGUGGCGAACGGGUGAGUAAUGUAUCGGAACGUGCCUAGUAGCGGGGGAUAACUACUCGAAAGAGUAGCUAAUACCGCAUACGCCCUACGGGGGAAAGGGGGGGAUCGCAAGACCUCUCACUAUUAGAGCGGCCGAUAUCGGAUUAGCUAGUUGGUGAGGCAAAGGCUCACCAAGGCGACGAUCCGUAGCUGGUUUGAGAGGACGACCAGCCACACUGGGACUGAGACACGGCCCAGACUCCUACGGGAGGCAGCAGUGGGGAAUUUUGGACAAUGGGGGAAACCCUGAUCCAGCCAUUCCGCGUGUGCGAUGAAGGCCUUCGGGUUGUAAAGCACUUUUGGCAGGAAAGAAAUCGCACCAAUUAAUACUUGGUGUGGAUGACGGUACCUGCAGAAUAAGCACCGGCUAACUACGUGCCAGCAGCCGCGGUAAUACGUAGGGUGCAAGCGUUAAUCGGAAUUACUGGGCGUAAAGCGUGCGCAGGCGGUUCGGAAAGAGAGGUGUGAAAUCCCAGGGCUCAACCUUGGAACUGCACUUUUAACUACCGAGCUAGAGUAUGUCAGAGGGGGGUGGAAUUCCGCGUGUAGCAGUGAAAUGCGUAGAUAUGCGGAGGAACACCGAUGGCGAAGGCAGCCCCCUGGGAUAAUACUGACGCUCAUGCACGAAAGCGUGGGGAGCAA
rnacentral:rRNA from 1 species